AUUGAACGCUGGCGGCAGGCCUAACACAUGCAAGUCGAACGGUAACAGGAAGCAGCUUGCUGCUUUGCUGACGAGUGGCGGACGGGUGAGUAAUGUCUGGGAAACUGCCCGAUGGAGGGGGAUAACUACUGGAAACGGUAGCUAAUACCGCAUAACGUCGCAAGACCAAAGAGGGGGACCUUAGGGCCUCUUGCCAUCGGAUGUGCCCAGAUGGGAUUAGCUAGUAGGUGGGGUAACGGCUCACCUAGGCGACGAUCCCUAGCUGGUCUGAGAGGAUGACCAGCCACACUGGAACUGAGGCACGGUCCAGACUCCUACGGGAGGCAGCAGUGGGGAAUAUUGCACAAUGGGCGCAAGCCUGAUGCAGCCAUGCCGCGUGUAUGAAGAAGGCCUUCGGGUUGUAAAGUACUUUCAGCGGGGAGGAAGGGAGUAAAGUUAAUACCUUUGCUCAUUGACGUUACCCGCAGAAGAAGCACCGGCUAACUCCGUG
rnacentral:rRNA from 1 species